UCCAGUGAUAAAGGCAAGAGGGUCACACCUGUUCCCAUCCCGAACACAGAAGUUAAGCCUCUUAGCGCCGAUGGUACUUGGGGGGCGGCCCCCCGGGAGAGUAGGUCAUCGCUGGUU
rnacentral:rRNA from 1 species